rnacentral:rRNA from 1 species
UACGUAGGGUGCGAGCGUUAAUCGGAAUUACUGGGCGUAAAGCGUGCGCAGGCGGUUAUGCAAGACAGAUGUGAAAUCCCCGGGCUCAACCUGGGAACUGCAUUUGUGACUGCAUGGCUGGAGUGCGGCAGAGGGGGAUGGAAUUCCGCGUGUAGCAGUGAAAUGCGUAGAUAUGCGGAGGAACACCGAUGGCGAAGGCAAUCCCCUGGGCCUGCACUGACGCUCAUGCACGAAAGGCGUGGGGAGCAAACAGG